ACUACUGGAAACGGUAGCUAAUACCGCAUAACGUCGCAAGACCAAAGAGGGGGACCUUCGGGCCUCUUGCCAUCAGAUGUGCCCAGAUGGGAUUAGCUAGUAGGUGGGGUAACGGCUCACCUAGGCGACGAUCCCUAGCUGGUCUGAGAGGAUGACCAGCCACACUGGAACUGAGACACGGUCCAGACUCCUACGGGAGGCAGCAGUGGGGAAUAUUGCACAAUGGGCGCAAGCCUGAUGCAGCCAUGCCGCGUGUAUGAAGAAGGCCUUCGGGUUGUAAAGUACUUUCAGCGGGGAGGAAGGUGUUGUGGUUAAUAACCACAGCAAUUGACGUUACCCGCAGAAGAAGCACCGGCUAAACUCCGUGCCNGCAGCCGCGGUAAUACGGAGGGUGCAAGCGUUAAUCGGNAAUUACUGGGCGUUAAAGCGCACNCAGGCGGUCUGUCAAGUCGGAUGUGAAAUCCCCGGGGCUCANCCUGGGAACUGCAUUUC
rnacentral:rRNA from 1 species